rnacentral:rRNA from 1 species
AUUGAACGCUGGCGGCAGGCCUACCACAUGCAAGUCGAACGAGUGGCGGACGGGUGAGUAAUGUCUGGGAAACUGCCUGAUGGAGGGGGAUAACUACUGGAAACGGUAGCUAAUACCGCAUACCAUCGGAUGUGCCCAGAUGGGAUUAGCUAGUAAGUGGGGUAAAGGCUCACCUAGGCGACGAUCCCUAGCUGGUCUGAGCGGAUGACGAGCCACACUGGAAGUGAGACACGGGCCAGAAUCCUACGGGAGGCAGCAGUGGGGAAUAGUGCACAAUGGGCGCAAGCAUGAUGCAGCCAUGCCGCGGGUAUGAAGAAGGCCUUCGGGUUGUAAAGUACUUUCAGCGGGGAGGCGUUACCCGCAGAAGAAGCACCGGCUAACUCCGUGCCAGCAGCCGCGGUAAUUC